GGGAGAUGAUGCCAAUGUGAUGCUUAACGGAUUUGGUGCUGUUGUAAAUGCCCUUGGCCAGAGAGUUAAGCCAUACCUUCCUCAAAUUUGUGGUACUAUAAAAUGGCGACUGAACAACAAGAGUGCCAAGGUGAGACAGCAAGCUGCAGAUCUGAUAUCCAGAAUUGCAGUAGUUAUGAAGCAGUGUGGGGAAGAACAAUUAAUGGGCCAUCUUGGUGUUGUCUUGUACGAGUACUUGGGAGAAGAAUACCCAGAGGUUUUAGGAUCUAUACUGGGGGCUCUCAAGGCUAUUGUGAAUGUUAUUGGUAUGACUAAAAUGACUCCUCCAAUUAAGGACUUGCUUCCUCGGUUGACCCCUAUUUUGAAGAAUCGUCAUGAGAAAGUCCAGGAGAAUUGUAUCGACCUAGUUGGUCGAAUUGCAGACCGUGGUGCUGAAUUUGUUCCUGCAAGGGAGUGGAUGAGAAUUUG
rnacentral:misc_RNA from 1 species